AGUAUUUUAUUAUUAUUUUAAAGUUAUAGCAUGUUUAUAUUAGUGCAUGAAAAAUUUAGUGAAAAAUUUUAGCAUUUGUAAGCUUAAUUGAAAAAAAGGACUAAAUCGCAUAAAGUGCAAAAGUUUUAAUUUGAUAGUUAGGGUGUUAAAUUUCCAUGUAUCUUUAAUUGAGGGUCUUUAAAGGGAAAAUAGAACCUUAGAGAGAGGCUUGGCC
rnacentral:lncRNA from 1 species